rnacentral:tRNA from 1 species
GAGCAUGUAGCUCAGUGGUAAAGCGCUUGAUUUCAAGCAAGAGGUCAUUAGUUCGACCCCCUUCUAGCUCG